rnacentral:lncRNA from 1 species
AGUCAAAUGUGUGUAGGUUAGACUUGUCUUCCCUGUCCAGCUGUUUUCUUUAUUUUCUUUCCAUUGAGGUAGUGUACCAGUUAUGAAACUCAGGUUUGUCUCUUCAAUUUUUUUUUUUUUUUUUUUNNNNNNNNNNUGAACUCAUGCUUUUUUAUGGCUGCACAGUAUUCUGUGGUGUAUAUGUGCCACAUUUUCUUAAUCCAGUCUAUCAUUGUUGGACAUUUGGGUUGGUUCUUUUGUUAAAUUUAUACCUGUUGUAGCUACUCUGUGGACAUAGGUGGAUUCGUAUCUCAAUUUUGUUUGGAUUCUCAUUUAGUAUUAGGAAAAUAUUUAGGUAAUUUGAAUUUGUAGUAAAGCAAAGUGGAGUAUUACAGAGUGGCCUUUUUAUAAAGUAGUUUGGUAUAAGUUAAA